UAUCUGCACUGCGGUGACAGCAGCCGGCGCCGGGAGAUAAGCGUCUCCUUGAGAUGGAAGGGAGUUUCUGGGGGAGCUCGUGGAGUUUGCUGUGUAGCUGGGUGCAGAUGUGGCCAGGGCCGGGGCCCGGAGCCCCGGGCGCUGCAGCGGGCACAUGUGCCAGCCUUCCCGAGCCGGGUGCCGGGCUGGGCACAGCAGCAGCCGCAGCCCUGCACUGGCCGCAGACAGGAGCCAGGCAGAGGGGCUGUGCGGGGCACCCGCCCUUCCUCUUCCUCGCCGCUCCCAAGGGCUGCUCCUGGGAUUUCAGAGCUGCUCCGGCUGCCAGGGAAGGAAGGUCCUGUCAGCUGCACGCACUGAUAAACACGGCACGGCCUUCUGGGGAGAGAGAACUCUCCUCUUCUCCUCCGUGACCCUCUGAAGCCUGGAAUAAAAUCCAAACAAAAACGUUGAUGCUGAUGGGAAUCCUUCCGUGCUCCAAAUAUAGGCACAACUUCAGUGGACUUUGAGUCUUCUUGAGUCUUUGAGUCUUCUUUCAAGCAGUGAAAAAUCAAAGGUAGUGAGUCUGUAUUCCUGAUAAUGUAAUUAUGUAUUUUUCAGCUUUUUGAUGUGUAGCAGUUAAGGGACUGCAGGCACUUGCUGUGGUGCUGGAGCUUUGCAGGCUGCUGGGAAGGAAGUCCCUGGGCAGAUCUCUGCUGCUUAUCACUGUUUUAUUGAGCUCCUGUAUUUAUGUGCAAAUAUAUUCAAUAAAUAAAUCUUUAAUGAUGUGAUUUUUGUUGUGAAAAGUAGACACAGCUCCGUUCGAUUCUUCUAAUUAAAUACAUCUAAUGGUGGGACAGAAAUAAAAGCAUCUGAACUUCUUUCACUCACUUUUCCACAUGACCGCCAAAAUAAUUGCUUUGGAUUUGGUUUGGUUCCUACAACUUCUGAGCAUUCUGUCUUUAAUCACCAUUUUUAUAAAAGCUAGGUUUUCUCAAGUCAUUUCAGAAGCUGUUUUCCAAAUAUCCCACGUUUUUGUGUAAGAGCAGGAAUUUAAACUUUCAUUCUUGGUGUUUCAAAAUGGCUUUUAGAGGUAGAAGGGAAAAUACAAAGAGAAUAGUAAUCUUUCGAGGUUUUUCCAAAAUGCUUUCAUUGUGUUUAAUUUGGGUAGCUUGCUAUGUUAAUGAAAAAGGGGACACCUUGAGGAAAGCCCAAGUAGAGGAUGGAGUGUUCUGUGUGAGAAAUACUAUGGGACAGUUUCAGUGGCAGCACCGGUGCCACACGCGCAGGGAGCAGCCCAGCCCAGGAGCCCCUUUGUGACUUGUCCCCCAAAGCUCUGCAGCCUGAGGCUGUGUGCAGCUGGGGCUGGUAGAGGCUUCUUCCUCAUGGUUAUUGUUAGCAUGAUUGGAAAUGAACAAGCCUAACAAUAUACUAAAGCAAAUACUGAUUAACAACUUGUCUCAAAGAUACUUUCCACUUCUUUCCUAAAAUAAAAGUCAUGCAGUUUUUAUUACUUCUUUUUAAUACCAGUGACUAAUUUGGAGCUUUUGCUUGCUAUAUGAAGGCACGUGUAUUUGUUUAGUUUGCGUGAGAUUGGUCACGAUCCAAAAUUAAUCACAUCAGAAGUGUUUCUGUGCUGCUAAGCACUGUAUAUGUAGGGAUUUCUAUUAAGUCAAGGAAGGCAGCUCCUAAACUGGUUUAGUUUUGUUGUGUGUGGAAAAAUAAUUUCGUAUUUAGAGUAUAACAGUCAUCUCUGAUACCUCAGAUGGUGGCAGAGCAGAGAGAAUUAAAAAUCCCAUUCUCUGUGGUUUAGAUUCUUAUGUAACUACUGAAAUAGAUUAUAUAGAUUUGUUGUAUUUUCUGAGAAGCUGUACAAGUUUUCAUUAUGCUGGAAGGAUGUGAUUAUAAACAUAAAUUAAAUGUAAGGCCAGAAUGAAUCAAAGCAUGGGAAGUGCUCUAUUUUGGAUCUGAGAUUCCCUGAGAAACAGCCAGCUGUGAAUGCAAAUGCAGUGGGCUGUGUCUCCUGUCUCCCAGCAGAUGCUGGAGUGUUUUCCAGGGCUGUCCUUGCCGUGUGAUUCACGUUGGUGACUGGAGUCGGGCGGUGGCUCCCUGCUCCCGGUGUCCCCAGCAUGGCAGUGCUGCCAGCUGUGGUGCUGUGUGCUUUCAGAGCUGUGGGACUGGGGUGCCUCUGGCCGUGCUGCAGAGCCAGGUUUGCCCCUUGGGCAGCAGUCCUUCGGUCCACGCUGAACUGCUCUGAGGACUCUGCUGUCCCUCAUUCCCCUGUAACUUGCUGGUCCCUGGGGAGGAGCAGGUGACUGUCCCUGCAUCGCCAUAGCUCGCCGUGGCUGAGCUGAAGUGACCAGUUCUCAGAUCUGCUGCAAGCAGAACUCGGUGGAACGAGUUCCUCAUCAGCUGGACUCCCUUUUCGGUUGCCCUCAAGUCAGAUGCAGGAUGAAGCAAUCCAUAAUUACCAUAGCUCCAAUGGGCCUGGCUGGCAGUGUGCCUGUUAUGCAGCAGAGAGCAGCAAGGUGUCCCCCAUGGAAUUGUGUCCCACUGAGGUCCACGUGUCCUCAGGGCCAGGAGAGCUGCUGGCAUUGUCACUGGGAGCGGGAUGACACACCAGCGUGGAGCAGGUGACAGGAAUGGCCUCUUCUCUUCCUGGUAAUUGGGUUCAGAUUUAAUCUUGCUAGUUAAUUUGAUGUGUGCAGGGAUGUGGUGGCUGCAUCCAGACUCCUGACUCAAAAUUAUUGUCCUAAUGAAGUGGUUGUCAUGUGAACAGGCAAGAACUUUGAAAUGUGGAGUUUUUGCUGUGGGCCAAGGUGGGAGGGGUGGCCCAGCCAGGGAUGAGUUUGUGAGGCCAAGGGGAGAAGCUUAUUGUCUGGAAGAAGUGCUACUAUUAAUAAAUCAAUAAUGUUAGUCGUGGCCAUGUGUACGUCCUGAUCAAUCAGGUGCUGACUGCAGUGGUCUCUUAGGUCUCUUUUUUCCCCCUGCUUUAUCCAGCUGUCUCAGGGGAAGAAAAGGCCACCCUUUGCACCAGGGCCACAUGGCAGCUGCAUUAGGAAGGGAAGUGGAAACCUGAGCAGUAAAAUAAGGUGCUGUCUGUUUUCCCUUCGGUGCAGGGCAUGUUCAGGCAUCAGACCCGCAGGAAGCCGGGGUUGGUGCCUGCUGCACCUCUCACCAGUGAGAGGUCACUUCUCCCUGAAACCAUCAGCAUCAGCUGAAUUUGGUGUCAGAGGGAAGCAGUUCCUUCCCUUGCUGAGUCAUGGACGUGGCUUUCUUUCUGCAGGGAUUCUUAUUAUGGAUGAUGCUAAUCAUGAUGUUUUAUAUAAAUUCACACUCACACGUGCAGCUAGAAAUGACCUGUCACUAUGGGACAGUUUCUGCCUCUUAGCUACUGCUGCAGGUGCCCCCCAGCUCUGAAUCUCGCUGGUGGGACUCAUCCUGGGGUUUGCCAUGUGGCUGUUCUGGAGGACAGCACCCAGCACCCACUGAGACAGGAGAUGAGCUAGAGAGUCACAGCUCCAUGGAGCAGAGUCAGGGGUCUGUUCACACACCCUGUGCUGCCCUGGGGAGAGCUGGGCUGGGGGCCCAGCUCCUGGGCUGACCCCGCUGCCGUGGCUCACCUUGCUGCUCUCCUGCCUUGCUUGGCUUGUGUACAUUUGCAGUUAAUCAAACAAAACGCGCAAGAGUCGGAUUAAUAAAUAGCUUGUAGUUUUUGGAAGGCUGCGUAGUUGAUUUAUUGUGGCCUCUCAAAUAUCUUUGUAUAGAAACAACAUGUUUAAAAUUACUAUUAGAACAAAAAAAUAAAACUGAUUUUGAUAAAGCAGGUUUUAUUUUGUCAAUUUGGUUUGUUACUUCUUGGAUUUUUAACUUAAAUUAGAUUGCUGUUAUUUUUAAAGAUAAGCAACUUAUUUUUAGAUUUGCUUGAGCAAUGUCACUUCCUUUUUGGUGGAAUCCCCUAUGCCAGGAUAAUAGAGAAUUUCCCAUUUCUAAAAUACAUUAUGUGAAUGUUAUGGCAAAGGAAUUACAGUGUGAUUAUGUUUUUAUUGCCAGAAACAGUAUUUGCAACUUCAGUGGUGGGUGGGGAUGGAUAUGUAAAUGCUUUGUAAUACAUAAAUUGAUGAAAAGUGGAUUAAAGGGAAAGUGGUCCUUUCCCAUUUUGUGUCCCUGGCAUAAGGUUGCAAGAACAGAGUAACAGCUUGUGUGCCACUCCUUGUCCAGAGACAGGGACUGGCCUGUGCCUGUUCUUGCUCUUUAAUACACACCCGGCUAAUGCUGUCAGACUGAACCCUGUGUGUCCCUGAAGUCUCGAAUUUUGUAACAGAGAUUGAUAUAUACCCCAGGUUAUUAAAAAAAAAAAAAA